CAAAAUUGAACGAAAUGUCUCCAGACAAGAACCGCUGCAUUCAGGCCAACCAUCCGAUUCGAUGCCUUCGGGGUGGAGAGAGGGAGAAAGUAAAAGGCACCAAAUCACCCUAGUUGCCCAGGCCUAAAAGGCAGGGUGUCAUUUUUGAUUUCCUUCAAGAAACUUCCAGAUUGGAGUGCAGUGGCACGAUCCUGGCUCACUGCAACCUCUGCCUCCCGGGUUCAAGAGAUUCUCCUGCCUCAGCCUCCCCAGUAGCUGAGAUUACAGAGUUGGGUUCUCACUGUGCUGCCACGCUGGAGUGCACUGGCACAGUCAUAGCUCACUGCAGCUCCCAACUCCUGGGCUCAAG